CAGCACUAAACGGGGUGGUAGCGGUACCCUGUCACCCGCAAUCCGCUAUAGCGGGGUUGAAUUCCCAGAUUGAGACUUGAUAAUUUGUUGAUAUGCGCUUAAAAAGUGGUGUUGACAGGAUGGUCUCAUGCAACAAGAAUCUAUGAACCAUGUCAGGUCCGGAAGGAAGCAGCAUUAAGUAGUCCCUCUUGUGUGCCGUGAGGUAGCCUUUCUCGAGCUAACUAGUCUGAAAGCAGCAGCGGGUUUUAAGCCGAUACUGGGUGUGCAU
rnacentral:SRP_RNA from 1 species